rnacentral:rRNA from 1 species
CUACGGGAUGCUGCAGUGGGGAAUAUUGCACAAUGGGCGCAAGCCUGAUGCAGCCAUGCCGCGUGUAUGAAGAAGGCCUUCGGGUUGUAAAGUACUUUCAGCGGGGAGGAAGGGAGUAAAGUUAAUACCUUUGCUCAUUGACGUUACCCGCAGAAGAAGCACCGGCGAACUCCGUGCCAGCAGCCGCGGUAAUAGCGGAGGGUGCAAGCGUUAAUCGGAAUUACUGGGCGUAAAGCGCACGCAGGCGGUUUGUUAAGUCAGAUGUGAAAUCCCCGGGCUCAACCUGGGAACUGCAUCUGAUACUGGCAAGCUUGAGUCUCGUAGAGGGGGGUAGAAUUCCAGGUGUAGCGGUGAAAUGCGUAGAGAUCUGGAGGAAUACCGGUGGCGAAGGCGGCCCCCUGGACGAAGACUGACGCUCAGGUGCGAAAGCGUGGGGAGCAAACAGGAUUAGAUACCCUUGUAGUC